rnacentral:rRNA from 1 species
CGGCAAUAGCUCAAAUUUGAAAGCUGGCUCACGCCCGCGUUGUAAUUUGUAGAGGAUGCUUCGGGUGCGGUGCCGGUCUAAGUUCUUUGGAACAGGACGUCAUAGAGGGUGAGAAUCCCGUAUGUGACUGGUGGCCUGCGUCUAUGUGAAGCUCCUUCGAC